UCCUCCUCCUGUCAGUCACUCUCAGUUUCAGUGUUGUAUUAAAUUGCUCCUCCAGCACCUCCUCUCCUCAUCCUCCAAACCCUCUAAUCUGUCAGCAGUAAGCUCACUUUACAAGUUACUGACACUGACAACAUGCUGGGGACCCUCUGCACUCUCAUCACUGCUCUAACAUGUGUGAGUGGUGUGACGGUGGUGACACAGAAGCCUCCUGUUGUGACGCUGAGGAAAGGAGAGACAGCCACCGUGGACUGUAACCUGGGAACUGUUACUGAUACUGCUGCUUAUUGGUACAAACAGAUUCCUGGAGGAGUUGCUCAGUAUGUAUUGAGGUUUUAUCACGGCUGGAGCUCUCCAGAAUAUGGCUCUGGCUUCUCGUCUCCAAAGUUCACAUCUACUCAUCAGUCACAAUCAGAUUAUCGUUUGAUCAUCAACAAUGUGGAGGAGGGAGACUCAGCAGUCUAUUACUGUAAAACAUGGGACGACUCUGCUAAGGAGUACGUAUCACAGUGAUUUACACUGUGACAAAAACCUCCUCACUAACUACUUCUGCUUUUUGAGUCUCUGACACAUCUGGACUGAGUGUGAAGCCACUAACCAAAGCUGUUUGUAACUUCCCUGAAUAUACAAUGAAAAAUUCAUGUUCCCAAA